rnacentral:rRNA from 1 species
AUUGAACGCUGGCGGCAGGCCUAACACAUGCAAGUCGGACGGUAGCACAGAGAGCUUGCUCUCGGGUGGCGAGUGGCGGACGGGUGAGUAAUGUCUGGGGAUCUGCCCGAUAGAGGGGGAUAACCACUGGAAACGGUGGCUAAUACCGCAUAACGUCGCAAGACCAAAGAGGGGGACCUUCGGGCCUCUCACUAUCGGAUGAACCCAGAGGGGAUUAGCUAGUAGGCGGGGUAACGGCCCACCUAGGCGACGAUCCCUAGCUGGUCUGAGAGGAUGACCAGCACCACUGGAACUGAGACACGGUCCAGACUCCUACGGGAGGCAGCAGUGGGGAAUAUUGCACAAUGGGCGCAAGCCUGAUGCAGCCAUGCCGCGUGUAUGAAGAAGGCCUUCGGGUUGUAAAGUACUUUCAGCGGGGAGGAAGGCGAUAAGGUUAAUAACCUUGUCGAUUGACGUUACCCGCAGAAGAAGCACCGGCUAACUCCGUGCCAGCCGCCGCAGUAA